AGUGAACGCUGGCGGUAGGCCUAACACAUGCAAGUCGAACGGCAGCACAGUAAGAGCUUGCUCUUACGGGUGGCGAGUGGCGGACGGGUGAGGAAUACAUCUGAAUCUACUUUUUCGUGGGGGAUAACGUAGGGAAACUUACGCUAAUACCGCAUACGACCUACGGGUGAAGGCAGGGGAUCUUCGGACCUUGCGCGAUUGAAUGAGCCGAUGUCGGAUUAGCUAGUUGGCGGGGUAAAGGCCCACCAAGGCGACGAUCCGUAGCUGGUCUGAGAGGAUGAUCAGCCACACUGGAACUGAGACACGGUCCAGACUCCUACGGGAGGCAGCAGUGGGGAAUAUUGGACAAUGGGCGCAAGCCUGAUCCAGCCAUACCGCGUGGGUGAAGAAGGCCUUCGGGUUGUAAAGCCCUUUUGUUGGGAAAGAAAAGCAGCAGGUUAAUACCCCGCUGUUCUGACGGUACCCAAAGAAUAAGCACCGGCUAACUUCGUG
rnacentral:rRNA from 1 species